CAAGCACCUCGCUAGGUGAGGCGUCUGCGCGGAUACAGGCCACUGACCUCAAAUGUCGAAAGACGCCCAGGGUCAGGACAGCUCUUCCCGGCUUAAGGGUUGAGCCCAAGUGGCUUCCGGGUUUUCGGGAUACGCCGCGCAGUGCCAAAGCUCUGUCGAGAGGGGUGCGGC
rnacentral:sRNA from 2 species